UUCCCCCAAUUUUUCAUUCUCUCGGACUUGAAUCGCUAGUUGCUACCUCUGCCUCUCCUCGAGCUCUGUGUUCGUCGAAACCCGCUUCAUCCAUCGGUUCGUUCCCCAAUCUGAGAGCUCAUCGGUGUUUCAGUUCUUUGAUUUUCCGACGUCACUCUGGUGUUACGUCUGAGGGGGUGAUAUCAGUGGUCUCUGGUCUGUUCCUCUCAUCCUCCAAAACGCAAUCGUUUUGUCCAAAUUCAGAGCAUCCAGCACUUUGCUUCAAUUUCAUAGCAUCUGAACACACAGCAAAUUUUGAUAUUAUCUCUCAGAUUUGGUAAUUCUAUCACUUGGAUUCAUGGAUUCUUUCUCUGAUUUGGCUAUUGUGCUCGAUAUUGUCAGUUUUCCGUUUCUUUUCUUUUUAUCAAAGUUGUGUCUGCCAUCAACCAAAGAAGAAGGUGAUGAAGCAGUUUUAUAUCUUGAUUUUCGGACUGGUGAAUCGACCAAAUGAGUUGGAUUAUGGUUUGGGUGUAUGGGUCUGUGUGCUUGUUCUGCCUAAUUGAGAGAUAUGGUGUUGAAAUUUUCAAGUUGCUAUGGAGGUUUUCUGGAUAUAUGUGUUCUGGGAAUGGGUUCAUGACUUUGGUGAAUAGCAUUAUGAAGAGGGAUUGGUUGUAGUUACUUGAUUGGCUGCUUGUCGAGAGGAGAUGACAAUAUUGCUUCUUGUUGGUUAUAUGUUGUUGUUGGUCGAUGGUAAUUAUGAAUGAUUUCAAGAGUGUAAGGCCAUAAAAUUGCAGAAGAAUGAUUGUGGAAGUGUGCAGCCAGCAACAAUUUUCAAUGUAUCAGUUUUUCAAAUUUUCGAUAUACAGAUUUCCAGA